UGUCAGAAAUUAUAUAUAUAUAUAUAUAUAUAUGUGUGUGUGUGUGUGUGUGUGUAUGUGUGUAUAUAUAUAUACAUAUAUAUACAUAUAUGUAUGUGUGUAUAUAUAUA
rnacentral:miRNA from 1 species